rnacentral:rRNA from 1 species
ACGACUGCUAAUACCCAAUGUGCCGAGAGGUGAAAGAUUUAGAGCCUGAAGAUGAGCUCGCGUCUGAUUAGCUAGUUGGUGAGGUAAUGGCUUACCAAGGCGACGAUCAGUAGCUGGUCUGAGAGGAUGAUCAGCCACACUGGGACUGAGACACGGCCCAGACUCCUACGGGAGGCAGCAGUGGGGAAUUUUCCGCAAUGGGCGCAAGCCUGACGGAGCAAGACCGCGUGAGGGAGGAAGGCUCUUGGGUUGUAAACCUCUUUUAUCAGGGAAGAAGAAGUGACGGUACCGAUCGAAUCAGCAUCGGCUAACUCCGUGCCAGCAGCCGCGGUAAUACGGAGGAUGCAAGCGUUAUCCGGAUUUAUUGGGCGUAAAGCGUCCGCAGGUGGUUUGACAAGUCUGCUGUCAAAGCGCGGAGCUUAACUCUGUAACGGCAGUGGAAACUGUCAAACUUGAGUACGGUAGGGGUAGCGGGAAUUCCCAGUGUAGCGGUGAAAUGCGUAGAUAUUGGGAAGAACACCAGCGGCGAAAGCGCGCUACUGGGCCAUUACUGACACUGAUGGACGAAAGCUAGGGGAGCGAAUGGGAUUAGAUACCCCCGUAGUC